CGAACUAUUUGACUUGAAGGCUCCUGCACGUGAGACUUCGUCCAGUUCGAGAUAAAGCAGAGACCGUGUAAAAGCGCUUCUGCUUCCGCUUGUUCUGCUGAAGAAACCCUAGCCUCCGCUGCAAUCCAUCGACGACGAAGCCCUCUUUAUUUCUGAUGAUGCCGGCUACGGAACAGAGAUAUUCGCCUGGUACCCAUGAAGCAUCCACGUUCAAUUUCAACUCACAAUCUCCUGGUGGUGUCCAUUUCUCUAGUAAAUGCCGAUUUUGAGUUCAGUUUUGCUUCGUUCCUCUACUGAAUGCUUGAUUUUGGGUAUGGGCGGUGUCGAUUACUUCCGCUGAUUUUGGAGUUUUAUCUCGGAAGAUCCGUG
rnacentral:lncRNA from 1 species